AAAACGGUCCUUUUCAGGACCAACCAAUCAGAACGCAGUAUUACCG
rfam:Acyrthosiphon pisum strain LSR1 Contig1020741, whole genome shotgun sequence.